AGAAUGAAGUUACAGAGCUGUGCCCCCCAGUGCGCAUGUCCAUUUCCGGUUAGCACGCAUCUACCGCUACCGCCAAACACGUUCAAACACAAGAGGUCAAAGUCGUGCACCUGGCCCCAGUGCUCUCACCGAAUCCAACGUUGAUUUCGCCUACCUUAGGUGGUGUCUGUGACAGUGAAGUUGGUGGCAGUUGGAAAAGAGGUACCCUCGGUCACCAAGACUGUAUUGGCCACCAGGGUACCACUGUCUUACCCAGCCAGACCCACUCAGCAGCAGCCGCAGCUUUUCGUCCCACUGCACCUCCUCCCUCACUGCUGCUUCAAUGAUCAGAAGCUUUCUCAGUAGACUGGACCAAAAUCCUUCCAAGAUGAAUAUAGACAACUGUUUGGUGUCAGUCGCUCGAUCGCCUCCUCACAAACCAAUGACAUCACCACAGCACGCAUUGCUGUCCUGCAAUGCUCCUGUCUUAUAAGACAGGAUAAUUCCAGAUAGAGGAUGAUUCUAGAUAAUUCCAGCGAAUUCUUCCUCAGCUGCUCAGAUUCGGACUCGCGACCGGUCCAGGGUGUACCCCGCCUCUUGCCCAUAUUCAGCUGGGAUAGGCUCCAGCUCCCCCGCGACCCUGAUGGAUGGAUGGAUUCGGACUCUGCAUGUGAAUUCACCCAGGUGCCUGUUGGGGUUCUUAGAAUCAUGACUGAGGAUACGCCACCACUGAUUAACAGCAUUGCAAUCACCCUUGAAGGAAACAUUGUCAUGGAUGAAAUUCCCACAACCUCUCAAGCACUUUGUCUUCUGUUCGGCUUAAUGUAUGCACCCCAUCUGGAUUACCUCAAAGGUAUGAAGAACACAUUUGAGUUCAUCCAGAAGAUAUUGUUGAACCUCGGACAACAGUAUAUGAUGUUUAGUAUACUGUAUAUGAUGUUUAGUAGUUAGUAGAGUGUAGUGUGCUUCUGCAGGAAAUGUUGAAUAUAUCAAAGUUGUUAAAGAGCUGACUUACAUUUUGCUGCUUUGAAGGUGUAUGUACAAGUAUAGUUCUGUGUAAUAAUCCAGUUUUAAUUAUCAGAUAUUUAUUCAGACUUUAAAUUUUUACAGACUAAAUGUUACCAAGUCUACCAAGUUUGUUGCUGUGAGACAUUCAGGAAAGUGUCCAUUGUGAAUCAAGGGCCUUCUGUUAGCUUAUAGCCAGACCAGUCAGCACACUUUUCUCAUGCUCAUUCUCACUUUUAAGUCUCACUCAUACGUCACAAACUGAUUUUUCACUCAUACUGACAUACACAUUCUGUCUCACUCAUAUGCACACUCAUACACUCAGUCUCUCUUACAAACACAUAAUAUUGAGGAAAUAAUUUAGAGAAAGGCAUAACUUGGCAGGAAUCUGAAGCAGUCGGCAAACUACAAGAAAGGAUUUUACUAUUAUAGUACUAUUAUUCAAAUUACAAUAUAUGUAUCUUUUUGAUAGAGGUCAAAUUUGGUAAACCCCAUUAAAAACUAAGUAUUUGUAGUGCUAAAGAGAUAUUCUGACCUUUUAUUCAUCUAUUUUCCUUUGAUCAGUUUUGCUAACCAAGCUAGCCUUCAUACUAGCAGCAAUAUUUAAGUAAUUUAGGUAACUGUGUACAGUAAGUUAUUGUUAUUCAAUGUUACUUAAUGUCUUUACAGUAAAUAAAUCAGAAAGACAGGAAAUAGCUAUUCAGGCUCUGUGCAAAAGGAAUAAAAUCACCAGCACCUCUAAACCUCAGUAAUUAACAAGGUUUUUAUCUUGCAGCCAGGUGCACCAACUUCCUGGCAACCUCACAGUAUGAAAAGACUCAAUAAAUAGUUUGGUGCAAAACCUCCAUAACAUCUCCAUGGCGAUUUAACACACUGAUUCCUGUGAGGAUGGAACAAAUGAGAUUUAACUGAGUGUGCUUUAGAGGGGCUGGUGGGUGGAUUUUUUUUCACCUUUGGACAGAGCCAGGAUACCUGUUUAUCCCUGCUUCCAGGGCUAAGCUAUGCGGCUGCUGGCGUUGAGUACAUAUUUAUAGAACAGACAUGACAGGGGUAUCACUCUUUCUUGGUAAGAAAGUGAAUAAGCAUAUGUCCCAAAUUGUUGAACUACUCCUUUAAAAUGCAAAUGUUUUUGUGAAUUAAAAUGAAUUCUGGCAGUUUAA